CGCAGAUAAGUCAUUGCGAAGAGGGGGUGUCACCUUCCCUGGACCCAGCGCUUAAUACGGCUUCCCCACCCCCACGUCCAUAUACACACCCCUUCUUCGCUCCCUCCAAACGGUUAUCACAACUCUGUACAAACUGAUACGGUCCCUAGCGGGCAAAGGGACUGGAAAUGAACGUCGCGGGGUUAUCAGCGCCUAUCUGUCACAGUGACUCGCGCGGCCGCAGGCUCGUCCGCUGCGGGAGCCGUGAUAUAUGUCUCUCCCUUUCGCUCACAGAAAGGAUUUCUUCCGACAGACGUGACCCCAGAAGGCGGCCGAGGGAAACUUUAAGACAAGAGGAGUUGUUUUUGUGAUAAUGCAUUUUUAAACCCCACCCCCCACCCCCAAACACACAAGGUAAAUCGAAGUAAAUUAUUUUCUAAAGGUCAGUCUCCCAGAAAGUGUUAAGCGUCUGGUUUUUUGUUUUGUUUUUACGUUCGUGUUUUCCCGGUUAGGGAGGGAAAAGGAGCCUGUGCAGAGUUGAACUGGGGUGGGGAGGUGCGUUGUAAAGUAUGGUUUCCAGAGAUGGUGAGACCUCGUCGCUAAGCGUUGUUUCCUCUGCACGUAACUUUUCAGCGUGGCCGCAUUUUGAAAAGGCUGAAGGUAGAAAACUCUGGAAUGGAGAGGCUGGCGACUGGAGCAGGAUCCAGAGGCUUUAAAUUUUAACCUGAGUGCGAUCGAAUGUGCGACUUCCAGAUGAGAUAGCCAGGCGUCCGCCCAGCCACUCAACCCCCGCCAGGACUCGGAAUGCCUUGCUUUUGGUUCUUUUCGUGAGUUCCGACCAAAUGUUUAAGUGGACUGGGUUUUGCAGAAGCUCAUUUGUAAACAGUGACGGAAAUGUGUUGUGGACAUUUGAUUUCCUUUGAUUUCAACGUUUUGAAAUAAUGUUUCUCAGGUUUGCUAUUAAAAGUAAUUUUUAAAAAAUCAUCUUACUUGCUAAAAAUAAAACUCUUUGGCUCA